rnacentral:rRNA from 1 species
AUUGAACGCUGGCGGCAUGCUUUACACAUGCAAGUCGAACGGUAACAGGCCGCAAGGUGCUGACGAGUGGCGAACGGGUGAGUAAUGCAUCGGAACGUGCCCAGUCGUGGGGGAUAACGCAGCGAAAGCUGCGCUAAUACCGCAUACGAUCUAUGGAUGAAAGCGGGGGACCGUAAGGCCUCGCGCGAUUGGAUCGGCCGAUGUCAGAUUAGGUAGUUGGUGGGGUAAAGGCUCACCAAGCCAACGAUCUGUAGCUGGUCUGAGAGGACGACCAGCCACACGGGGAAUGAGAGACGGCCCAUACUCCUACGGGAGGCAGCAGUGGGGAAUUUUGGGCAAUGGGCGCAAGCCUGAUCCAGCAAUGCCGCGUGCAGGAAGAGGGCCUUCGGGUUGUAAACUGCUUUUGUACGGAACGAAACGGUCCUGGUUAAUACCUGGGGCUAAUGACGGUACCGUAAGAAUAAGCACCGGCUAACUACGUGCCAGCCGCCGCUGUAAUAC